rnacentral:rRNA from 1 species
CCCUAGUAACUGCGAGUGAAGCGGGAAAAGCUCAAAUUUAAAAUCUGGUGGUCUUUGGCCAUCCGAGUUGUAAUUUAGAGAAGCGUCUUCCGCGCUGGACCAUGCACAAGUCUCCUGGAAUGGAGCGUCAUAGAGGGUGAGAAUCCCGUCUUUGGCAUGGACCCCCAGGGCUUCUGUGAUACGCUCUCAAAGAGUCGAGUUGUUUGGGAAUGCAGCUCAAAAUGGGUGGUGAACUCCAUCUAAAGCUAAAUAUUGGCGAGAGACCGAUAGCGAACAAGUACCGUGAGGGAAAGAUGAAAAGCACUUUGGAAAGAGAGUGAAACAGUACGUGAAAUUGUUGAAAGGGAAACGCUUGAAGUCAGUCGCGUCGACCGAGACUCAGCCUUGCUUCGGCUUGGUGUACUUCUCGGCUGACGGGUCAGCAUCAAUUUCGAUCCUUGGAUAAUGGCAAGGGAAAGGUAGCACCUUUACAGGUGUGUUAUAGUCCUCUGUCGCAUGCAAGGGUCGGGAUUGAGGAACUCAGCACGCGCCUUGUAGGUGUCGGGCCUUUUGGCCUACGUACGUGCUUAGGAUGCUGGCAUAAUGGCUUUAAACGACCCGUCUUGAAACACGGACCAAGGAGUCUAACAUGCACGCGAGUGUUNGGGUGGAAAACCCGUGCGCGUAAUGAAAGUAAAAGUUGGGACCUCUGUCGUGGAGGGCACCGACGCCCGGACCAGACCUUCUGUGACGGCUCUGCGGUAGAGCGUGUAUGUUGGGACCCGAAAGAUGGUGAA